AAAAAAGAAAGAACUGGAGGCUGACACAGGCCAAAGAAGCAGCUCAGGCUGAAAUUGAACAGUACCACCUGCAGAGGGAGAAAGAGUUGAAAGCCAAGGAAGCUGCGGCACUGGAAUCCAUGGCACUGGCAGCACCAAAGUGGAGAAGGAGACCCAGGAGAAGAUGACCAUCCUCCAGACCUACUUUCCUCACAACAGGGAUGAAGUCUGGGAUAACCUCUUGGCUUUUGUCUGUGACAUUCAGCCAGAAAUGCAUGAAAACUACCGCAUAAAUGGAUAG
rnacentral:lncRNA from 1 species